rnacentral:tRNA from 1 species
CGGGGUGUGGCGCAGCUUGGUAGCGCGUCUGCUUUGGGAGCAGAAGGUCGCUGGUUCGAAUCCAGUCACCCCGACCA